rnacentral:rRNA from 1 species
GUGAGAAACGCGUGAGAAUUUCCCUUUCAGUGAAGAAUACCUCCGAGAAAUCGGAGUUAAUACUGCAUACGCCCUACGGGGUAAAAGGUGGCCUCUUUGCUACCGCUGAAAGAUAAGCUUGCGUACUAUUAGCUAGUUGGUGAGGUAAUGGCUUACCAAGGCAAUGAUGGUUAGCCGGCCUGAGAGGGUGUACGGCCACACUGGGACUGAGACACGGCCCAGACUCC